rnacentral:lncRNA from 1 species
GAGUACCUCACUUUUAUCCUGACUUAUUCGUAUCCUGAUGACACUGAAUUUCACCGUAUUUUUGACUCCGAUUUCGCAUGCAUUUUAGUUGUUCUAUUGUUAUUUUGUUAUGUUAUUACUGUGUUUUUCUUUAUUUUCAGGUUUUCAGUCUAAUCAGAGCCACGUUCGAGAAAAGGAGUGAAAAUGAGCUAAAAAGCCUAAAAAUCAGCAUUUUGCACUUGUGGCUCCCACUGUGGUUGGCGCCAUGGGUCCAGCCAUGACGUGUC